AUUGUAUAGAGUGGCAGCUUUAUUUUCUGGCUGCUCUAGGCUUGUGGGUGGCGAUAACAAACCAAGCCAAGAUGACACCAAAGUCAUUGAUUAGAAUAUCAUCAUGUGGAGCCAAGGUUAGCUCAAAGCUUUAGCCACUGUGAAGGUCAGCAUUGUAGCUGCGUUGUAGCACUUGCACUGUUUAACUUGAGACAUCCUUCCUUGAACACUUCCUGACAAUGGCAGCAAGCAACUGCUGUAUGCACCUUCAGAUAGGCUGUGAUGGGGAGUGCCAUUGAGCUCCAGAGAAGAACGCCAGAACAUUGUCAUUAUGUGUCCUUUAGAUCUCGGUGCAGCUCUUUGUAAUUUGAUGGCAUUUGACUCAGUCGAUUGAAAGAGCAAAUCCUAGCCAGCAUCAUGUAUUCUUGCUCUGUCUUUUUCCCAGAACAGGAAGGGCAAAUUGCUGGCAUUACAUAAAAGCCUUCUAAGUGUG